GAAUGUUUCAGCUAUUUUAAAAUUUGUCUGUCAGGCUUUCUGGCUGUUGUCUGAAGCCCCU
rnacentral:snRNA from 1 species